rnacentral:rRNA from 2 species
GGUUAAGCGACUAAGCGUACACGGUGGAUGCCCUGGCAGUCAGAGGCGAUGAAGGACGUGCUAAUCUGCGAUAAGCGCCGGUAAGGUGAUAUGAACCGUUAUAACCGACGAUUUCCGAAUGGGGAAACCCAGUGUGACUCGUCACACUAUCAUUAACUGAAUCCAUAGGUUAAUGAGGCGAACCGGGGGAACUGAAACAUCUAAGUACCCCGAGGAAAAGAAAUCAACCGAGAUUCCCCCAGUAGCGGCGAGCGAACGGGGAGGAGCCCAGAGCCUGAAUCAGCAUGUGUGUUAGUGGAAGCGUCUGGAAAGGCGCGCGAUACAGGGUGACAGCCCCGUACACAAAAGCGCAUGUGCUGUGAGCUCGAUGAGUAGGGCGGGACACGUGGUAUCCUGUCUGAAUAUGGGGGGACCAUCCUCCAAGGCUAAAUACUCCUGACUGACCGAUAGUGAACCAGUACCGUGAGGGAAAGGCGAAAAGAACCCCGGCGAGGGGAGUGAAAAAGAACCUGAAACCGUGUACGUACAAGCAGUGGGAGCACCUUCGGGUGUGACUGCGUACCUUUUGUAUAAUGGGUCAGCGACUUAUAUUCUGUAGCAAGGUUAACCGAAUAGGGGAGCCGUAGGGAAACCGAGUCUUAACCGGGCGUUAAGUUGCAGGGUAUAGACCCGAAACCCGGUGAUCUAGCCAUGGGCAGGUUGAAGGUUGGGUAACACUAACUGGAGGACCGAACCGACUAAUGUUGAAAAAUUAGCGGAUGACCUGUGGCUGGGGGUGAAAGGCCAAUCAAACCGGGAGAUAGCUGGUUCUCCCCGAAAGCUAUUUAGGUAGCGCCUCGUGAAUUCAUCUCCGGGGGUAGAGCACUGUUUCGGCUAGGGGGCCAUCCCGGCUUACCAACCCGAUGCAAACUGCGAAUACCGGAGAAUGUUAUCACGGGAGACACACGGCGGGUGCUAACGUCCGUCGUGAAGAGGGAAACAACCCAGACCGCCAGCUAAGGUCCCAAAGUCAUGGUUAAGUGGGAAACGAU